GAGGUCAUAGCUCAGUGGUAGAGCUGCUGCUUAGCAUGCAUGAGGUCCUGGGUUCAAUCCCUAGUACCUUCG
rfam:Camelus ferus unplaced genomic scaffold scaffold520, whole genome shotgun sequence.